UUUGCACUGGAAGUUCACACAGUACUGAGAACAGUUUCUAGCAGUUGUUUCCCCUGAGGCUAUAAAUGUGAAAGAACAGAAAGCUCUACCUAAAACCAUGGCCUAACAGAUGCUUUCUGCCACAGCAUGUAACUGUCUCUGAAUCAAGGUCUCAGAUACAUGACCUCUGUCCUAUUUUGAAAGAAUUGUGAAGAAGUAACCCCUCUCCCUGGUGGAUGUGAAGCCUAUGUUAGUGUCAAAAUCUCAGCUCAGCAAGGAAGGUUGGAGUCAGUUCAAGAGCUAAGGAGCCUCUUCAGGGAACAACAGAGCAGGAAAAGGCCAAUAUCAGUCCAGUCUUCAAAAAGAUCAAGAAUGAGGACGUGGGAAACUUUAGGCCAGUCAUCCUCACCUCCAUCCCUGGAAAGUUACUUCAAAAGAAAUGUUACCAGGACCUGGAACAAGAGUGUACCUGGAUACUACAGAGCUGGCAGAAGAUGCUACUGAAAAUGAAGAAGCAUUGAAUCUUCUCUCCCCUUUGCCAAGAGCUAAGGACAACUUCACCAGCAGUCUCACUGAUAAAGGAGUAAAACAGAGGAGGGAAUUUAUCCUGGUUCUCUGCUGUCCUCCUGGUUAUGCCAAGAAAAACACAACUGCAACAGCUAAGCUGCAGAACAAUUGUCAUCAUCAUCAUCAACAUCACCAAUCUGUGUACUUGAGAGAAGAAUCAA